UACGAAGGGGGCGAGCGUUGUUCGGAAUUACUGGGCGUAAAGGGCGCGCAGGCGGCUCUGAAAGUCAGAUGUGAAAGCCCCGGGCUUAACCUGGGAAUUGCAUUUGAUACUCUGGAGCUUGAGUGUGGGAGAGGAGAGUGGAAUUCCCAGUGUAGAGGUGAAAUUCGUAGAUAUUGGGAAGAACACCAGUGGCGAAGGCGGACUCACUGGCCCGGUACUGACGCUGAGGCACGAAAGCGUGGGGAGCAAAGCAGG
rnacentral:rRNA from 1 species